rnacentral:piRNA from 1 species
GCGGAGAAUCACUGAGAGCUGCU